rnacentral:rRNA from 1 species
CUCGGGCUAAUACCGAAUGUGCCCUCCGGCCAUAAGGCCGCUGGGGAAAGGAAGCUUCGGCCUCCGCAUCGGGAUGGGCCCGCGGCCCAUUAGCUGGUUGGCGGGGUAACGGCCCACCAAGGCGACGACGCGUAGCUGGUCUGAGAGGACGGCCAGCCACAUCGGGACUGAGACACUGCCCGGACUCCUACGGGGGGCUGCAGUAACGAAUCUUCCGCAAUGCACGAAAGUGUGACGGAGCGACGCCGCGUGUGGGACGAAGUCCUUCGGGAUGUAAACCACUGUCAGGGGUUACCAAGUUCUGAGGAGCCCCAGAGGAAGGCACGGCUAACUCUGUGCCAGCAGCCGCGGUAAGACAGAGGUGCCGAGCGUUAGGCGGAAUCACUGGGCUUAAAGCGUGUGUAGGCGGGUCGUUAAGUGUCUUGUGAAAUCCCACCGCUCAACGGUGGAACUGCUGGGCAUACUGGCG